rnacentral:rRNA from 1 species
ACCUUUGAGCCAAUCACCCAGAAUGUGGCCCGAUCUCAUGAGACCUCAAAAGCUAAGCAGGUUUUUGAGCCUGGAUAGUGCUUGGAUGGGCGACCGCCACCGUGCAUAAUGCAGGUGUUGUAGGCU